GACGAACGCUGGCGGCGUGCUUAACACAUGCAAGUCGAGCGGUAAGGCCUUUCGGGGUACACGAGCGGCGAACGGGUGAGUAACACGUGGGUGAUCUGCCCUGCACUUCGGGAUAAGCCUGGGAAACUGGGUCUAAUACCGGAUAUGACCUCCUAUCGCAUGGUGGGUGGUGGAAAGAUUUAUCGGUGCAGGAUGGGCCCGCGGCCUAUCAGCUUGUUGGUGGGGUAAUGGCCUACCAAGGCGACGACGGGUAGCCGACCUGAGAGCGUGACCGGCCACACUGGGACUGAGACACGGCCCAGACUCCUACGGGAGGCAGCAGUGGGGAAUAUUGCACAAUGGGCGAAAGCCUGAUGCAGCGACGCCGCGUGAGGGAUGACGGCCUUCGGGUUGUAAACCUCUUUCAGCAGGGACGAAGCGCAAGUGACGGUACCUGCAGAAGAAGCACCGGCUAACUACGUG
rnacentral:rRNA from 1 species